GAAGAGAACUGGAAAGUUCCACCGUAGAAGGUAAUAGUCCUGUAAGUGAAACGAGAAGACCACGAGUUAUGAUCCAGAGUACCACGAGACACGUGAAACCUUGUGGGAAGCAGGGAGGACCACCUCCCAAGGCUAAAUACUACCUGAUGACCGAUAGUGAAGCAGUACCGUGAGGGAAAGGUGAAAAGAACCCCGGGAGGGGAGUGAAAUAG
rnacentral:rRNA from 1 species